rnacentral:lncRNA from 1 species
UGGGUUUUGAGCAUUCUAACACUUCCUAAGUGUACAUGCAACCCUAAUAACCUUGGAUCUAUGUUUGUCUAAUUUGUCAUUCAAAGUUGAAUUCCAAGGUUAUAUCCUAUCUAGCAUACAUGGGGAACAAUUUCAACAUAAAGUAUAGAUAGAAUAACUUACCUUGUUGUUGCUUGUGUUCCUUGAAACCUUGUGAGCCUAGCACCUCAAGUGGUGAUGCCUCAAAUGCUUCACACAACACCAAAUGCUCUUAGAAGAACUUAUGAGAGUAUACUCACUUCUUCAACUCGGCCAAGCCCUCUAUUUCUUUUUUUGUCAACCGAUUUUGGUGGAGAUUAUCUUUCUUAUAUAGUGUUGACACAUCUAGGGUUAAACCCUAAUGUGUCAUGACUCUUCAUUUCCAUGACCCAUGGGUUUGUAACUCCCAUGGAGCAUCCAUGGAGGAUCCUAUGGGUGGAACCCAACUUGAUGAUCCAUGGAGCCUUUUAGCCCACUAUACAAGAUAUGGAUGAUUUACUUAAUCAACCCAUAUAUUUAAUUAGUUAUCUUUUGAUCACUUAAUUAAUUCUAAAUUAAUUCUUGAUCAAACUAAUCAAAUAAUAUUAUUAAUAUAUUAGAACUUAUAAUAUAUUAAUAAUCUCCAAGCGUUAUUUCUCUCAUUUAGUUUAUCCAAUUGCAUGGUGCCAUGCAACCCAAAUGGACCAUGCCGGGUCGGGUCAAGUACAUACCAGAAAUAGUUAUGGACUUAGACACCUUAUCCAACAGUCUCCCACUUGGAUAAGUCUAGUAACUAUUACUGCAAGUAUGACUUCAGGAACCGAUCGGCAAUCGUAGCUCUUUACAAGGUUUCUCGAAACUUGAGAAGAUGAUGGUACGCCAUUUAAGAUAAGUGAUCAUAUAAUCCUCUGUUCUAGAUAUCAGUCGGACAAAUACAUGGAACAAUGUCUUACUUAUUGUCCAACAUUUGUUUCCCGAUUUCCGAUUUGUUUGACAAAGAACUUUAUUGAACACAUCAAUCUAGUUCUGACCGGGCCCGGUACAUAGGUCAAAACAAAAUCAUCGAGGGGCCCAGAUAUCAGCUUCUAAUCCAAGAAGGAACAGAUAAACUUCGACUCAUAUGUUUGUUCUACUACUCAUUGAAUUACACAUAAGAGCACGAUUUUAUAACAUCGAGUUACCAAUGCGUUUUUCGUACAAUUAAUGCAUAACCAACUCGUAAGUAACAAAUCAUAUCUCUAGGUUUAAAGACUUAUAUGAUAUUACCGUCUCACGAUCACUCGAGAUAGAAUUCCAUGAAGUGAUUCCAGUGAGCGUGGGUUGAGUCCAAUGCUCAGAACUUAUGAGCACUCAUGAUUGUUGUAGCCUUGUCCCAGACCUCUACAACCAAACAUGACAGUCUUGAUUCAUACCUACUUCCGACAUAUGACCGACUGUGGAGGUUUGAAUAAUAUGUUAUACCAAACAAAAUUAUUCUGGAAGUCAAAACAUGCAAAAGAAAUAUAGUAAACGAUCGACAAGAGAUAGCAACACUUUACUCAUAAAUAAAACACCUUUUAUUCAUCAUCAAAUGUCAAUUACACUUUACAAAUUUCUGGGUUAUCUAACUACUAAAACUUAUAUCAUCCUUCAGCCCUAUGCUCCGAGCAUGCUGGAGAUGCUUAACCCUACUCAGUCCCUUCGUGAGGGGAUCUGCUGGGUUCUCAUCCGAUGAUACCCUCUUUGCCACGAGGAGUCCUUCUUCGAUCCGAUGUCUAAUGAAAUGGUAUUUUCUGUCGAUGUGUCUGGAUCUCCCAUGAUCCCUUGGUUCCUUGGCUAAGGCAACAGCACUUUCACUAUCACAGAAAAUUUCCAUUGGCUCUUUAAUAGCUGGUACAACUCCAAGGUCUCCAAUGAAGUUCUUCAGCCAUAUCGCCUCCUUUGCUGCUUCGCUAGCUGCAAUAUACUCUGAUUCACAAGUAGAAUCUGCCACUGUCUCUUGCUUGGAACUCUUCCAAGAAAUUGCUCCUCCGUUUAGGGUAAAGACCCAGCCCGACUGAGAGCGGAAAUUAUCCCUAUCAGUCUGGAAGCUAGCAUCACUAUACCCUACAACUCUCAAGUCAUCACUCCCACCGAGGGUAAGGACCCAGUCCUUAGUCCUCCGUAGGUACUUGAGGAUAUUCUUUACCGCAGUCCAGUGUGCCUUGCCAGGGUUCGCCUGAUACCUGCUAACCAUGCUCAAGGCAAAAGCUACAUCGGGUCGAGUACACGUCAUAGCAUACAUGAUCGAUCCUACAGCCGAAGCGUAAGGUGUUCGACUCAUUUCUGCUAUCUCAGCCUCAGUGCUAGGGCUUUGUGUCUUACUCAAUCUGGUGUUACUCUGGAUGGGUAACUCUCCUUUCUUGGAAUCCUGCAUGCUGAAUCUCUUCAGCACCUUAUCCAAGUAGGUACUCUGACUAAGUCCAAUUAGUCUUUUACUCCGAUCUCUCAAGAUUCUUAUCCCUAGAAUAUAGGCAGCUUCACCAAGGUCCUUCAUAGCGAAACACUUCCCAAGCCAGGACUUUACUUCCUGCAGGGUUGGAAUGUCGUUUCCUAUGAGUAGUAUGUCAUCCACAUACAAUACCAAAAAGCUAACUAUACUCCCACUAGCCUUGACAUACACACAAGAUUCAUCUUCACUCCUAGAAAAGCCAAAUUCCUUGACCUUUUCAUCAAAGCAAAGAUUCCAUCUGCGAGGUGCUUGCUUCAAUCCAUAAAUGGAUUUCUCAAGCUUACACACUCUAUUAGGGUACUCGUUGCUGACAAAACCCUCUGGCUGACUCAUGUAAACAUCUUCAGCCAACUUUCCAUUAAGGAAAGCGGUUUUGACAUCCAUCUGCCAUAUUUCAUAGUCAUGAAAUGCAGCUAUGGCUAACAGAACCCGAAUAGACUUAAUCUUGGCUACCGGAGAAAAGGUCUCAUCAUAAUCCACUCCAGGAAUUUGAGAGAAGCCCUUUGCAACCAGUCUAGCCUUAUAAGUGUGUACUUUACCAUCCAUGUCGGUCUUCUUCUUGAAGACCCAUUUGCACCCUACUGUCUUACGACCUGGUACAUUUUCAACCAAGUUCCAAACUUGAUUGUCAUACAUGGAUUGUAUCUCGCUAUCCAUAGCCUCUUUCCAUUUAGCAGACUCGGGGCCUGCCAUGGCUUCCUCGUAGCUGUUAGGGUCAUCUUGACUUACUAGUGUCUCAUCACUAAUAAGUGUCUCACCUUCUGCAGUAAUAUGGAAUCCAUAGUAAUGCUCAGGUGCACUCCUAACUCUCGUGGAACGUCUCAGAGGUACAGAUUUGUCAAUUGGCUCAACAGGAGUUUCCUCCUCAAGUUGAGGGCUAGAGUUUGAAGUUCCUUCACCGCUUGAUUCUUGAAUUUCUUCAAGAUCAAUUUGCCUCCCACUGUCUCCUUGGCUUAUAAACUCUCUUUCUCGAAAGACUCCUCUUCUUGCUACAAAGACCACAUUGUCACUAGGUCUGUAGAAGAGGUAACCAAAGGAUCGCUGUGGGUAACCGAUGAAAAUACACCUCUCGCUUCGAGGUUCGAGCUUAUCAUGAGUCUCGCGUCUCACGAAAGCCUCGCAACCCCAAAUCUUGAUGUGGUCUAGUUUAGGUACUUUACCAGUCCACAUCUCGUGAGGAGUUUUGGCAACUUUCUUUGUAGGGACUAGAUUAAGAAUAUGGGCGGCAGUCUCUAAGGCAUACCCCCAGAAUGAGAUUGGUAGCGUAGCUCGACUCAUCAUGGAACGAACCAUAUCUAACAAGGUUCGAUUACGCCUCUCAGCCACACCAUUCAACUGUGGUGUCCUGGGAGGUGUCAAUUGUGAGACUAUCCCACAUUCCCUUAGAUAGUCGAGGAACUCUGAACUAAGAUACUCACCACCACGAUCGGAUCGAAGCAUCUUAAUGUUCCUGCCCAAUUGAUUCUCGACUUCCUGUUUAAAUUCCUUAAACCUCUCGAAAGUCUCUGACUUAUGCUUGAUCAAGUAGACAUAUCCAUAUCUACUAUAAUCAUCAGUAAAAGUCAAAUAAUAACGAUUAGCAUCCCUUGUGGCAUGUUUGAAUGGUCCACACACAUCCGUGUGUAUAAGGUCCAACAAACCUUCACCCCUCUCACACGAACCUGUGAAGGGUGACUUUGUCAUUUUUCCAAGUAAGCAUGAUUCGCAACUAUCAUCUGACUUUAGGUCAAACGACUCCAAGACUCCAUCCUUUUGGAGUUGGCCUAUGCGUUUCUUGCUUAUAUGUCCAAGACGACAAUGCCAUAAAGAUGCUUUAUCCAAGUUAUUAUUAGUAGAAUCAAUACACAAAACAUUAUUUCCCAAGUUAUCUACAACAGAUACAGCUUCAUACACACCAUCACAAGGUAAUGCUUUAAAAUAAAAGACAUUAUUAUAGAAAACAUCUAUAGAACCAACUUCAUUAUUAAAUGAAAAGGUAAACCCUUGUUUGUACAAAGCAUGAAAGGAAAUAAUAUUUCUUGCCAUUCCUGGCGAAUAACAACACUUAUUCAAAUCUAAACUAAACCCACUACUUAGCGAUAAAGUAUAAACUCCAAUCUUGGUAACAGGUAUAGCUUUCCUAUUCCCCAUGAUCAAGUUUAUCCUUCCUUGCUCCACAUCCUCACUUCUUCUUAGUCCCUGCAAGUCACAACAAAUGUGAAUACCACACCCGGUAUCAAGGACCCAAGAAUUAGAAUGGGGUGAGUUAUUAGAAAUGAUAGUGUAAAUACCUGCAUGGUUGGGUUUAACUUUCCCAUCCUUCACAUCUUGCUGGUAUUUUGGGCAGUUCCGCUUCCAAUGAGCUUUUUCAUGGCAAUAGAAGCAUUCAGCCUCUUUUGGGUCAGAAGAAGGAGUAAUGAAACCUUUCUUGGUUCCACUUGAAGAAGAGCCAUCAAGGGUCCGAACCUUGGUACCCUUAGAAGAGCUCUUUCUCUUCCUCCCUCGACUUUUCCCGAUUGCCAAAACCGGAGUAGAGUUUUGAGUAGGAGUGAUAGCAACCGACUUCCCCUUAAGACCUGAUUCUGCGGUCUUGAGAAGUCCCUGAAGUUUGCUGAGGGUGACUUCUUCCUUGUUCAUGUGAUAUGUCAUGCGGAAUUGAUCAUAGCACGAUGGUAAGGAAUGCAAAAUAAUAUCUAUUGCAAGAUCCUCCGGGAAGUUCACAUUAAGCUUCAGCAAACGAUCCACAUACCUUUGCAUUUUCUGCAUGUGGCUCGUGACGGAUUCCCCGUCCUUCAUCAUGGUUGUUAUCAUGGAGCAGAUGAUUUCAUACCUCUCUUGUCUUGCACUUUGAUGGUAUCUUUCCAUCAAAUCUUGGUGCAUUUCAUAAGGGUAGAAAUCCUCAUAAGACUUUUGGAGUUCCGCUGUCAUCGUGGCCAUCAUGAUGCAAGCCACUUUCGUAGCAUCCCUUUCAUGUGCCCGAAAUUCAGCGAUCUCCUGAGGAGUUGCAGUGGACUCAUCAAUCUCCUUAAGCUCCUUGUCAAGGACAUAUUCUUUGUCCUCGUAGCGGGUAAUCAUCCUGAUGUUUCUGAUCCACUCAUUGAAGUUGGAUCCAUCAAAGGUGACUUUCCCACACAAGUUCAUAAGGGUAAAGGAGCCAUUAGGAUUAGAGCCAGAAGCAUUGUUGAAAGACAUCUGAAGGAAAGAGGACAAGAUUAGUUUAGAUAUAAGAGAGUCCUUAAUAAAACACCCAAAUGUAAUAUUAAGGCUAGGAUCCAAUCACAAUAUAAUAUAACUUAGAAGAGGUAUGCCGUAAUCUAAGCUAUAUCAUAUUUGAAAGGUAGGUGAAUGACGAUUCACCAAUUUCCACCACGAAAACCGCAAUAUUUUAGUAUUAGGUUUUUGAAUGGUUCUUAGAAAUUCCUAGAUUCUUUGAGAUUCAAUGAACUUUUCAAAGGCAUGUUUCAAUCUCGAGUGUGCCCUCCAAGUUUUGUGACUGGGAUACCGAGGAUCACAAAACGAGGUGUGAAGUAACCAUGCAAAUCACUUGGUACCCUUAAAGUUUAUCACUCAAUCGAUGUGCCGGUUAACCACACACGCUCCAUCGAUACUAUAAUAAACCCUAAGUCACCCUUUACCUACCUUGUUAAGUCCAAGUUAGUGUGCCGGUUAACCACACACGCUCCACCAACGACUUAAUCAAAGUGUAAAGUGUAAUUUCAUGGAAUAGCACCUUAUUCACAUUUUUCCUAAAGUAACUAAGAUUGGGAAUUUAAUAAAACAUUUAGUUACUUUAUAAUAUUCAUCAUACUUUGAAUGAGAAUUAAUAAGUCCUUGUCUUACCCGUUCGGCUAACGACCCUCCACCGAUCAAGCAAGCGGUGGGUGAGAGUGGACACCCAUUAAGUCACCAUUUUAUAGGCAACAACCUUAUACCCACCUUAUAGACCGGCUUCGUGAAUGAGGCGUACUAGCGGUAAGACGACUUUGUUCUUAUACAUAUAUAUAUAAUUAUUAAAUCAUAAUAAUAUAAGUAUAAGGGUUGAAUUUUAACUUUUAAAAUUCUAGGGGUUGGAACUAAAGUUUUAACUUAACUUUACUUGUUCCAAAACUUGAGGGCAAGUUUUGUAAACUUUCAAAACUUUUCAUUUCUUGUAACUUAUGAGUUUAAUAGAGUAAUAAAAUGAGGACUUUUCAUUUUUCCUAACUCUUGUGUUCUUUUAAUGUUUUUUAAUCCAAGAGACUUUUGGUUUUCCAUAACUUGAGGACAAGUUAUGGACUCCAUUAAAACACAUUAUGAUCAUGAAUUAAUCUACCACAUAGGUUACAAAUAAUUCCUAUGAUCAUCUAAACAUCAUAAGAACAAGAAUAUGAAUAUGAACACUUUCAAGAAUCAAAAUCACAUUUAAUCUUUGUAAUUUUGAUAACUAGUUGUUGUAAAUGAGUUAGAAAAGACAUUACACCUUCUAAAAUAAGUUUUCAAGUACCAAAACAUUUUAGGGUAAUGAUUCUAAUCCAUUUCCAGCAACUCAAGUCGAAAUUCUGCACUCUGUCGACCCUACUCGCCGAGUGCAUAAACCUACUCGCCGAGUAGGUUGAAGAUACACAUGAACUCGACGAGUCCUCCCCAUGGACUCGCCGAGUCCAUCAGUCAGACAGCAAGAUUUUCGACUUUCUUCAACUUUUAAGCACAAAUAACAAACAAACAAGCCUAGGCUCUGAUACCACUGAUGGGUUUUGAGCAUUCUAACACUUCCUAAGUGUACAUGCAACCCUAAUAACCUUGGAUCUAUGUUUGUCUAAUUUGUCAUGCAAAGUUGAAUUCCAAGGUUAUAUCCUAUCUAGCAUACAUGGGGAACAAUUUUAACAUAAAGUAUAGAUAGAAUAACUUACCUUGUUGUUGCUUGUGUUCCUUGAAACCUUGUGAGCCUAGCACCUCAAGUGGUGAUGCCUCAAAUGCUUCACACAACACCAAAUGCUCUUGGAAG